rfam:Lepisosteus oculatus linkage group LG2, whole genome shotgun sequence.
AUUGUGGCUUUUCUGAAAGCCACGGUAUUGAAAUUAUAAAUUAUUGU